rnacentral:rRNA from 1 species
UACGUAGGGGGCUAGCGUUGUCCGGAUUUAUUGGGCGUAAAGCGCGCGCAGGCGGUCAUUUAAGUCUGGUGUUUAAGCCCGGGGCUCAACCCCGGUUCGCAUCGGAAACUGGAUGACUUGAGUGUAAGAGAGGAAAGUGGAAUUCCACGUGUAGCGGUGAAAUGACGUAGAGAUGUGGAGGAACACCAGUGGCGAAGGCGACUUUCUGGCU